rnacentral:lncRNA from 1 species
UGUGAGCACUAAUUCUUUCCAAUUGCCCAUAUUAUGGGAAGAGCCUUUUUGUGCAAGGAGUGGUGGAUAAACUCUUCAACCAUAUCCACUGAUAUAUCCCACCUACACUUUCUCUCCUCAUUAUGUUUACACAUAAAGUGCGGUGCAGAAUCAUCAAGAAAUGAGUGUGUAGAAACCAUCUCAGGCCUACAACUUUGUAUACAAAGUUUGAUAAUUCAACCUUGAGAAAAAGAUCUAUAGCCUUCUACAAUCAUAUAUGUUUAAAUUGUCAACCAGAAAGAACUCUCUCUAAAUCUUUGCAUAUGAUAUAACCUAUACAUGUUGAUUUAAAUGAAGGUAAGAGAAACACACCCAGGAAGUCGAUUAUGAGUCUUCCAUCAGAGAAUCUUCCGGCUGACAUAUGGAAAUAGGUCUCUCCAUAAGGUGCGGGUAAUGGUGGAAAGGCUGCAACCAGUCCACCAGUAUCUGAAUUCGAGUCUCCGAAGUUGAAGAUGGCUGGAAACUCGCAGUCUUUCAAAGCCAAUGUAGUGGUCACAGUACUACCGGUAGUAAGCAAUAUAAGCAUAUAGGAGCAAAACAGAGAAAUAACUACUCCAGUAGAGUACACCAUGGUCGAGAUUGGAGAAAGACCAAAAGAUGCAGAUUAGAACUAAGCUGUGUUUGUUGUAUAUAGUGUAAUGAAAGGUGCAAUUUCCUUCAAUUGUACUUCUCGGAGGCAUUUUCUUGUGUCAACGCCGUAUUGUUUAAGGCGUUGGCUGAAACGCAUAAAGCAACAAGAUGACCAAGAACCUCUGAACAGACAUGCCGAUGGCGAUGGCGAUGAGAACUAAUUAAGCUGCAUGUGUGUUGGUACAAAAAUUGUUGGCUAUCCCUUUAUGAUCAAAACACAAGGAUACAUGCUACAUGUUGUAGCCUGGUAGCAAGGACUGCUAAAGUGAAGUAUGAAGAAUCUGACAGAUCUCAUGUGCAUCAGGUAGUUCAUACAUGUUGUAGCCUGGUAGCAAGGACUGCUAAAGUGAAGUAUGAAGAAUUUGACAGAUCUCAUGUGCAUCAGGUAGUUCAUACAUGUUGUAGCCUGGUAGCAAGGACUGCUAAAGUGAAGUAUGAAGAAUCUGACAGAUCUCAUGUGCAUCAGGUAGUUCAUACAUGUGCAUCUCAUUCACUAAGGAUGGCAGCCGUGCUUGCCAUCCGGAUUAGACGGAUACCCCUGUUGUAUCUGUUCUAUCUACUGGGUCUGACCAUGUGCAUAUUCAAAUGUGUUUUUAAGUGUUUGAAUUUCAAAUACCUUUAGCAAAACAUUAGUCUAUUCGUGCUUGAGCUCCAAGUUAGUCUAGGGUGGUGUGGCAAACCAACCCGUGACCACAUAACUUGAGCCUUUGGGAACCAGCUGGGUUUUGUGAUACACAAACCAAGUUAGUAGCUGCCCAUGUGAUGCACCGCCUAAGCUAUCAGCUGUCCUAAGUGUCCUCUUAGGUAAAGUGGUUUUGUAGAGCCUUUAUGCUUGACUAAAUCUGAUCUAGUUUUUCCAAAACCUUUUGUCUUAUCCUUUUGGCUUUAGUCUUUCAUAGGAAAGUCUAUUCUCAGCUUUUGUCUUGUGAGUGGAGGGAUCCCUAGGGUCCUAUCUGUCCUAGUAUUUCAGACAAGCAGCUAGAGUCCAAAAGAACCUUGUUGAUGUGGCAAACGUGCUUGCUUCCUCAUAGCUGUGCACUUUGCCUAUAAAUAGAGAGCAAGACCUCUCUUGCUCUUUGGUUGUUGAAAAUAGUCUUGUUUGUUUUCUUCCAUUGAGUCUAGCAUUUGCUAACUGCCCAUAUAUCUCUAAGUCUUCCCUGUGAUUGUCAAUCUUAGAGCUGAGCACCAAAAUCUUUUCAAACUCAUAUCAUUGUGCAUUUGCAUACCUUGAGAUCUGUCUAGGUGAUGCAACAACCCCGGCGAAGCUGUCUUUGAGAAUUAGCUAAAGGUGUUAGUUGAAUUCUGCAUAGAAGCUUAGAUUCGUGUUAUGUGUAAAACACUUGAGUGACAAGAGAGCAAGUUUUAGUUGAGUGCUAGGAGUUAGACUAGGCAGUAUGGCUAGGUGUUGUGUCAUCCUCUGAGUUGUGAGUAUUGUAAGAAGUGUCUUUACAAUAGUGGAAUAGUUUGUCUCUCAAGAGUUUGAGGCACGCAGUUUUCUCCCUGGUUGCAGGGUUUAUGCGUAUAAAAACGUACUGGUGUUAUAUCUUUACUUUCAGUACUUGUCUUUUUAUUUACAUAACUUAGUCUCACAGCAAACAUGAUAGCACAAUCUUUGCUAUCCUUGUGUGCGGGAUAGAGACGAAAAAGUUGUCAGGGCCUAUUCACCCCCCCCCCCCCCUUCUAGGACCUUCAAUGUGUUUCUAGAACAGUGUUCAUUUGGUCAAAUUUUCGCCGACCACGUGUGGACGACUAUCACCGAGCUACUGCAGCCACAGAACAUUAGUCAAUGUCUCAUCCUACUUCGAUAAUUUCAUUUUCAGGCUCAAACGUAUGGCUUCCAUUACUUACCUCUCAGUUUACAGUGAACUCUCUCUUCAGAGAUUGUGAAUUAAUCUUCUGUUGUAAAACAAAAGUAAAAGAGUGAGAAAGGAGAGAAACAACCAACAGAAUGAGAGAAUAUAUGUGUAUUAUUGAGUAGGGAACCAUUGCUUAUAUAGAGAUGAGGCCAUGAUGUAAAUUACAAUAACAACCCUAGUCGGCUAAUUACAAGAAUGUCCACUAAGUAAUAACUAUUUACAACACUCCCCCUUGUUAUUCUCUGUCAUUAGCUUUCCCUAAUAUGUGCUUCGGUGUUACCUCGUCAACCAGUAAUAAAAACCCUAUGGGACAAAAACAAUCCUGGUUGAAGGAGAAAAUAAUACAACGCACAAGUAGCAGUGAUAGUCAGAACCCUUGAUUUCGGUGAAGCGGUUUAAUCUAGAUCAUAAGAUGUGAGUUUGUGGGAGAUAGAUGCAUAAUAGUUGCUACACCAAAACCUUGCCCGGUAAACCCAGUGGGAUAAACCCGUGGUCGAAGGGAAAAGAUGAGCAAAUGCAUAUAUUUCAAAUAAAGGCAUCUUCAAGAUGCAACAUGAGAAAGGUGACCAAUUACAUAUGUGCCUCAUUAAAACCUUGUCAGGUAACAAACCCAGUUGAACAAAAUAACCCUGGACGAAGGACAAAAAGAGUACACAAUAGUCAAGAGUAUGCUUCAGGAUACUCCCCCUAAUAUUAACUCCCCCUGAAAACUACACGCUAGGUAAAACUACUACAUUGAUUAUGCUUCUUGAAUAACUUAAUAGUCAGCAUAAUUUAAAAAGUAACGGAAAAUUUAACUUAACCUUUCCGUUGACUGAACCAACAAAGAUUUGGCUUCCAUUGACUGUGAUUGUUGUUCCAC